rnacentral:rRNA from 1 species
GUUGGUGGUUAUUGUGUCGGGGGUACGCCCGGUCCCUUUCCGAACCCGGAAGCUUAAGCCCGAUUGCGCUGAUGGUACUGCACCUGGGAGGGUGUGGGAGAGUAGGUCGCCGCCAACC